AUCAGACGCAACAUCAGAGACGCACGAACAGAUCAUCUUGGACGGUUUUGAGAGCAGUUUUUACAAGAAUUAAGAGCAGGGAAUCGUUGGAGUAAAGCGGGAAGCACGCGGAACGAAGAUUAACGGGUUUUACCACUCUAAUUUAUCUUGUUCUUAGUUUUUCUUGUUUAACUCAAUGAAUUCUUGUUUGAGACCUUGUGUUUUUAUUUUUAAAACCAUGAUUUCCGGCUAAAACUCUCAUACUACCUAGGCAUGACAAUAGUUAAAUAAAGGUUGGAUUUUUAUUUGGUUUUUGGCGUGGUUGUGGAUCUUUCUUGUACUGUAAAAACUAUGGGAAUUUAAUUUGGUGCAUAUGCGUGCUUGUGAUUGUUUGAUUAUUGUUUAUUGCUUCGUUCGAUUCUUGGUGACGGUCUUUAUCACGGAAUAGAGUCGGGCUAGGGUUUUAGGUUUUGGUGAGUGUCUAUAUCACAUAAUAACUCUCUAAUCCUUUAGGGUGAAAAUCUGAUAAGUAACCUUAGAAGUAAUAUUCGGUAAUUUAAUAAAAUCAAGUGUGCUGCUAAACUCGUCGCUGUGAGGCUCGAGGAUAUUAAUAGGUCUCAGUUUGGUUAUAAGGACUUAACAUUCCAUUGUCUAUUAAGCCAAGAUUAAAACCCAUUGUCGCUUUAGACGUUCGCGCUGAAAGGUAGAGCGUCUUACAUAAGCACUUUCAAGAAACUAGAGGACGGAAAAGAAAUCUAGAAAACCGGUGAGCGUAACAGCCUAGGUAGUGCCAUAAGAAUCACCUUGAGAGUGUUUGAGGGGCUUAGUGGUGUCUUAAUAGGUUUAGUAUCCAAAGAUCCCGGUUCCACACCACAAAAUCAUCGAAUAGAGAUCCAUUCUGAGUUUAUAUUGCGUCUAGCCUAGGUAGUCUUCAUCAUCUCUGGUCAAAACCUUCGUUCGAGUUCGCGUCUAGUUAGUAUAAUUUUAAUUAUAUUUUUAGGAUAUAUAGAAAAACCUCCCCCAUCAAAUAAACAAUUAGUUAAGUCCGUGUCAGUCUAAGUCUAGAUAGAGUCGUUAGCGUAUUCAUUAGAGUCUCUUGGGUUCGAUACUCGGACUUCUUUAGGCUAUACUGCAUCGAUCGGUACACUUGCCGGUCGUGUGGUUUAGGUUUUAGAGAUUCUUAGUUUUAUAAAUUUAAAACUUAGAGAGUCUAGUUUAGGGUUUAAUUUAGUUAAUUUAGUUAAACCACUUUUAGCACAUCAAUUAUCAUCUGAUUUUCACUUCGAUUUUCAUAUGAUUUUAUAAAAGAAAAUAGUUUUACAAGGUUCAUGACUAGUUUUGUUAAACAUUUCUUUUGAUUACAAGUCUUGAAUCUUUCAUCAUCAAAACCUAUGUAUCUCACAGGCAUUUAUAUGCUGACGUACCUAUUUUCACAUGUGUUUCAGGUGCUAAUGUUUGAAUUGAUCAUGCUACACUUAGGCGGACUUGGGCCUUAGUGACUUAAAAGACAGUUUAAUUAUGUUAUGUUUUCGUUAAUGCAAAGACAAUGUAAACAAUUUACUUAAUAAUAAAAAACUUGAAUUACCAUGUUUGUGGAAUAAUAAUUCUGUCGCUCCACUCCCCGACGUCUCCGCCGCGGUUUAUUUUUUUACGCGGUCGGGGUGUGACAAAUACGACAGCUCCGAUGAUGAUUCCAGAACAUGACGACAACUCCGACGAUGAUGAUUUAGGAAAACCAAGCUAACAGCCGGUGACUCAUGAGAAAUCGACAUCUUCAAAAAAAUAAUAAAAGCUGGUGGUGGCCGGAGGUGUGUGGUGGGUGGUGGUGGGUGGUGGUGGCCGGAGCCGUACCGCGAGUGGUGGUGGCCGGAGAUGUAAUGUCAUCUUAUAUAUAGUGUAUUUUUCAAGUAUUAGCUGUUUGAAUAUUAAUUAUCACUCUACUAAGUGUAUUUUUUAAAAUUGUUUGCAACUAUAAAAAAAUAAAAUUAAAGAGUUUUUUUUUUUUUAAAAAAAAAAAGAUGAUAUGUGACCUUGAAAAGUGCAGUGAGAAAUUAUCAGUUUAUGGGAAUCUAAAAAAUUGACUUGUGAGAAAAAAGUUUAAAAAAAGUCGACUUCGGGGUCUAUUUAACACAACCCUAAAAAAUUUUUUGAAAUAUUUUUUUUUUGAAACUACCACCUGUUUUUACUUGUGCCAUCGCUUUUGAAGCACUUAUAGACGAAAUGUUUGGCAAUUUGAAUAAGGUGGAAUACUCUUAG
rnacentral:lncRNA from 1 species